GGGUUUAGACCCAUGGCAGACGAGGUAGGAACACGUANNUNNNUACCGGANAGUCAAGGAUAACCUGGCGAAAGUCANAAUAAUACUUGAUGGUCCCGUGAGGGUAAAGAUUUAUCGCUCUCUGAACGGCCUGCGUUCUAUCAGCUUGUUGGUAAAGUAACGGCUUACCAAGGCUACGACGGAUAGGGGAGGUGAGAGCCUGACCCCCACCGAUGGAACUGCGACACGGUCCAUACUCCUACGGGAGGCCGCAGUCGAGAAUCUUCCGCAAUGGACGAAAGUCUGACGGAGCGACGCCGCGUGGUGGAUGAAGUCCUUAGGGACGUAAACACCUUUUAUGAGGGAGGAAGUUUAUUGACGUUACCUCAUGAAUAANGGGCUCCCAAUUCUGUGCCAGCANGANCGGUAAUACAGAAGCCCCGAGCGUUACCCGGAUUUACUGGGCGUAAAGGGUGCGUAGGCGGUUAUAUUAGUCGGAUGUUAAAUUGUANGGCUCAACCUUACAGCCGCAUCCGAAACGGUAUAACUUGAAGGAGUGAGAGGUCUAGAGAACUCUCGGUGUAGGGGUGAAAUCCGUUGAUAUCGAGGGGAAUACCAAAUGCGAAGGCACUNNACCGGCNCUUUCUUGACGCUGANGCACGAAAGCGUGGGUAGCGAACGGGAUUAGAUACCCCGGUAGUCCACGCCCUAAACGCUGUCUGCUAGCUUUUUGGAGUAUCNNCCC
rnacentral:rRNA from 1 species